rnacentral:rRNA from 1 species
AUACGGAGGAUCCGAGCGUUAUCCGGAUUUAUUGGGUUUAAAGGGUGCGCAGGCGGGAGAUUAAGUCGGGGGUGAAAAUUUUGAGCUCAACCGUAAGCGUGCCUUCGGAACUGGUUUCCUUGAGUGUAGGAGCAGAAAGCGGAAUUUGUGGUGUAGCGGUGAAAUGCAUAGAUAUCACGAGGAACUCCGAUUGCGCAGGCAGCUUACUAAACUACUACUGACGCUCAGGCACGAAGGCGUGGGGAUCAAACAGGAUUAGAUACCCUGGUAGUCCACGCAGUAAACGAUGAUUACUAGCUGUUUGCGAUACAAUGUAAGCGGCUGAGCGAAAGCGUUAAGUAAUCCACCUGGGGAGUACGUUCGCAAGAAUGAAACUCAAAGGAAUUGACGGGG